UAAUGAUGAGAUUAGAAACGCUGAUUAUAACUCUCUUGAAAAAAAAUUUGAAAACUACCUUCUUUCCCCUACUGACU
rnacentral:snoRNA from 17 species